AACAUCGCGCACCUGCGGGAACCUGCGGAAGGAUCAUUACAGAGUUGCAAAACUCCCUAAACCAUUGUGAACGUUACCUAAACCGUUGCUUCGGCGGGCGGCCCGGGUCCUUCCCGGCGCCCCUCGGCCCUCGCGGGCGCCCGCCGGAGGUAAACCAAACUAUUGCAUUGUAUGGCCUCUCUGAGUCUUCUGUACUGAAUAAGUCAAAACUUUUAACAAUGGAUCUCAGAUCGGAAGAGC
rnacentral:misc_RNA from 1 species